CCUACGGGUGGCAGCAGUGGGGAAUAUUGCACAAUGGGGGAAACCCUGAUGCAGCGACGCCGCGUGCGUGAAGAAGUAUUUCGGUACGUAAAGCUCUAUCAGCAGGGAAGAAAAAAAGUCCUUUGGACUUUGGACGGUACCUGACCAAGAAGACCCGGCUACCUACGUGCCAGCAGCCGCGGUAAUACGUAGGGGGCAAGCGUUAUCCGGAUUUAUUGGGUGUAAAGGGAGCGUAGACGGCAGCGCAAGUCUGAAGUGAAAUGCCGGGGCCCAACCCCGGAACUGCUUUGGAUACUGUUAAGCUGGAGUGCAGAUGAGGUAGGCGGAAUGCCUGGUGUAGCGGUGAAAUGCGUAGAGAUUAGGCAGAACACCAGUGGCGAAGGCAGCUUACUGGACUGUAACUGACGUUGAGGCUCGAAAGCGUGGGGAGCAAACAGGAUUAGAUACCCCGGUAGUC
rnacentral:rRNA from 1 species